UGGCACCCCAGAACAGAUCGAGUCCGUAACUAGAGGUACCACUGUAUGUUCUGUUUUUUUGAAGCUUAUGCACUUAAGCAAUUUCUUGUGAUCAGAAGAAAAGCCAAGGAGAGAUGAGCCCUGAAGCAAAAACAGUAGAAAUUGAUUCCUCUUUGAGAACUGCUGAAUGCACAGCUAGAUAGAAA